GUGUGAUGCUUUCGAGACAUGUCCUAAAAGGCAAAAGCAAAGCCAUGACUUCGGUGACUGAGAAGACACUUCUUGAUGUGGAGUCAGUGGACAUCAGCAGUCAUGACGUGGGCCAGAAUGAACAGGACAGCUGCUCCCAGGCACAUGGGGAGAGAGGAGAUGGACCCCUGGGAGAGCCCUCACUGUGGAACUGGGAGCACUGGAAAACCCUCAGGAGUUGCCCAGGAGAUGGCCUCAUGAAUUGAUGUUUCCAGCAUCACUGCUCAGUGGGUGACAAAUGGGGACGCAUCCCCACCAG